AUGAAUCGGAGACAGUGUUACUACUGUGGUGUGUGUGUGUUUAAAAUUAGUUUCUUCUUUCUCAUUAAAAGUGAGCUAGUAAAAGGGGUAGGGAGAGUGGAUGGGUAAAAUGCAAAGUGUGAUUAAAUGUCAGGAGCUGGCUUGAACUGCCAACUCCCCCAGGCUUGGCAGCAGAAAACCAAACCAAACACACUCCAGGAAUACUGUAUAUUAAUGAGAAGCUCCAGCCUCCAGGGGCAGAUGUGAUAAAAUCUGGGAAAAUGUGGGGCUUCAAGGACGUUGCCUAGAAAGAACAAUAGUCGGAUUUUUCCAGGGCAGGAAGUGUGGGUUGAAUGAGUUUUUAUUUUAUUUUUUCUUAAUUUCCUGAAUGUGUAAGCAACAGUUUUGAGCCCCAGAGGCCUGGGCUGGGGGUAGGACUGCAGCCAGGGAGUGCUGUGCUCAGGGAACUGCAGACUGGAGAGGAGGGAAGAGCUCCAGCUGCACCUCUGUGGAGGCUGGGAGUCCCCUUUGUGGGACGCAUCUUGGUGUCUGGUAGAGAGGGAAGCAUGCAUCACGUCCGUGACGAAGGCCUAGAAUGUCCCAAUGCAUCACAUUCAGGUGGCUGGAAAAUGUUUCCAUCUGCAUCAGGGCUGAACCAAAGCUGGAAGGUCCCUUGUUCUGCAGUGAUGAUAAAAAACUUAGAUUUUUCAGAUUUGUGCAGCACAAUCUAGAAAGGAAGAGCCCCGAGGAGCUGAGAUGUGGGUGUGGAAUGAUUUUUAGGCAGAGUCUUGUUGAAGUAAUACUCAACAAGAGUCCUUUUCAAUGAUUUCAAGUCUGUUGUGUAACAUGGAACACAACGAUGGCCUUCUUAAUCUGGUUUGGCCCUGAGAAGGCAGCCACCGCAUGUCACACAUGGCUACACUCUUGUAAAGUGCUGGCCCCUGGGGUCUUGUGACAGUCCAUAGCAGCAGCAGGCAGUGCAGCUGUAAAAGGACAGAGAGGGGGCCGGGUGCAGUGGCUCAUGCCUGUAAUACCAACACUCUGGGAGGCCGAGUCGGGUGGAUCGCUUGAGCCCAGGAGUUCGAGACCAGCCUGGGCAACAUGGUGAAACCCCGUCUCUACUAAAAAUACACACAUGCACAAAAGUUAGCUGAGUGUGGUAGCAUGCACCCAUAGUUCUAGCGACUCAAGAGGCUGAGGUGGGAGAAUUACCUGAGCCCAGGAAGUCGAGGUUGCAGUGAGCCAUGACUUAGCCACUGCACUCCGGCACUCUAGUCUGGGUGAAGGAAUGAGACCCUGUCUCAAAAAAAAAAAAAAAGAAGAAAACAGAAAAAAAAAAGGAACAGAAAUUCAACUUCAGGAGAGUGGAUGGAGGGAGACAGGAAUGGGAAGGUCUCCAAAGGCUUGCAGCCUCCACUACCCAGUGCCAAUAACAAGCUCAUUUAAUUCACUUGCACAGAAGGCAAACCUGAAGGCCACCAGUGGCAUGUAAAGAAAGAAAGAAAGAAGGAGAGGGAGUCUCCCCAAAAUAUACAAUUUAAUAAUUUCCAUGUAGUCUUAAGUGUUGGUCUUCUCUAUGAUGUCAGCCAUUAAUCUCUUGGGAUUACUAAAAAAGGAGUGCAUUGGAAUGACUCAUUUUUCUGUAAUAUUUUUCCUCCUCAUCCUCCUAGAAUAGUGUAGAUCAUCACUGGAGUCAUCAAAAGCAAAGGGAGAUUAAACUCUGAGAAGCAACCAGGCAUAAAUCUUCAUGACCUUGGAUGAGGCAAUCAUUUCUUAGACAUGACACCAAAAGCAAAACCAACAAAGAAAAAAAAAUAGAUAUAUUAGACUUCACCAAAAUUAACUUUUGUCUUCAAAGGACACUAUCAAGAAAGUGAAAAAAAAAAAAAAANNNNNNNNNNUUUUUUUUUUUUUUUCACUUUCUUGAUAGUGUCCUUUGAAGACAAAAGUUAAUUUUGGUGAAGUCUAAUAUAUCUAUUUUUUUUUCUUUGUUGGUUUUGCUUUUGGUGUCAUGUCUAAGAAAUGAUUGCCUCAUCCAAGGUCAUGAAGAUUUAUGCCUGGUUGCUUCUCAGAGUUUAAUCUCCCUUUGCUUUUGAAAAAAAAAAAAAAAACCCCACCCACAGAAUGGGAGAAAAUAAACACAGAUCAUAUAUCUGAUAAGGGACUCAUAUCCACAGUAUGUAAAGAACUCUUGCAACUCAACAAUUAAAACACAAAUGACCCAAAUUAAAAAUUAGCAAAGUACAUGCAUAGACAUUUAUUCAAAUAAAAUAUAUAAAUGUCUCAUUAACAUGUGCAAAGACACUCAAUGUCAUUAGUAAUUAGGAAAAUGCACAUCAUAGCCGCUGUGAGAUAGCACUUCUGGCCCUCUAGGAUGGCUACAGUGAAAAAGAUGGUGGAUAACAAGAUGUGGAGAGAAUGGAACCCUCGUGCCCUGCUGGUGGACACAAUGGUGCAGCUGCUUGGGAAGCCCAUAUGGCAGCUCAUGAAAAUAUUAAACACAGAGUUUCCAUACAACCCAGCCAUCCCACUCCUAGUAUAAAUCCAGGAGAAAUGAAAGCGUGUUCACACAGACACUUGUACACACAUUGUUUACAGCAGCAUGGGGGGAUGAAAGAAUUAACAGACAAAAGAGUUAACAAAAUGUGGGACCUCCACUAUCUGCAAUGAAUAGGUUUAUCCUUUUUUUAUGUCAAGUACAAAAGUCAAAUACAAUGGCCAUGUAGCAUAUGAUUCCACUGAUGUGAAAUGCCUGAGGCUAAAUCAUUAAGACAGAAAAUGAAUCAGUGGUUACCAGGGGCCGAGGCUCUGACUGCUAAUAGUAUGGAGUUUCUUUUGGGAUGAUGAAAAUAUUCUGGAAUUAGAUAGUGGUGAGGAUUGCAAAACUUUGUACAUAUAAAUAUUUUAAAAAUACCGAAUUGUACAGGUUAAAAGGGUGAAUUUUAUAGUGUACCAAUUAUGUCUUAGGAAGGCAUCCACAAGCUAUUUGUAGAUAAGAUGUUGGGGGUUGUAUUUAAAGAACAUUUCUUGGGGUAUCCUGGAGGCUGGAUGGUGUAUAUGACACAGUUCAGGCAUUCCAGCACUCUCCAGGGGCUUAGAAGACACAUAACUCAGUGAGAUGGUCACAGAGGGAGCUCAGCCAGGGUCUUAGCCUAAGACGAGCAUGCCUUCCCCCACUGCCCACUGCAGCCACAGCCUCAGGUGCGCAUUCUGUGUCUAGGGCUUGGUCACAGCCGACAAAUGCAGACAAGGAGGGUCAAUAAGCAGGGACGUGACAGGGUCCUCCCCUGGGACUGCAAUUCAUGAGGAUGACUGAAUGACGGCACGGAGAGUGCCACUGAAAGUCGAUAUUUAUUCUUCAUGUUUUCCGAGUGGAGAGGUCACACCAUGCCAAGUGGGGCCGCAUGGGGAAGCACCCAUGUCUGGCAAGAGGCAGAAAGGAGGAGGAGUGAGUGCAGAGACUGGGCUGCAGCUUGUGUUUUCUGUGGGAAAGGCAAGGCCUGAUGGGAAGGGCUUGGCACUGGACGGUUACAAUAGUGUCAGCAGGCUCUGGGCUCCGGGGGUGGUCUCUGGUUGCCUGGUACCCGGCUUUGGGGUGAUUUAGGACGGGGGAUAUACUGGCUUGGUGAGUAAGAGUUAGAUAAAGGGCGUGGCUUGGGGUAUGGAUUUGGGAUGGUUGGCUUGGUCACUCCAGGGUGAGCCCGUCGCUGGCUCUAGAUGCUGAGUAGUUCUGGAAAGAUCAGUCUCCCCCAUCAGGGAGGCCACACACACCACAGAGUCAAGAAUACAGAAAGCAAGGAAACAGUUAACAUUUUCUCCCCCCAGCACCCGUCCCCAAGAAAAAUCACAUUCUAUGAACGUGUUUCCAUGACUGUGGUUGGCUCCUCUAUUUUAAUGCCUAUAUUGGGGGUGUCUGGAGGGUCUGCCUUUCUGUUCAUGGCAGAGAUACUCAGGAUCACUCAAUGACUGGCUGUCCUACGUUGGGUGUUGCAAAUGGAUCGAGAGCCCUGUUUCCAUGAGUGCAAUCCUGGACCACUUAGGGGCAUCUGGGCCUGGGAAAACCCCAGCCAGGCUGUAGGAAAGACGCGGGAGGCAGCUGCGAAGAGCGCCUGGCUUUCUCAGCCAAGCAUUUGGCUCUCUGGAGACACACGCAGUUCUAUUCUGGCCUCAAAUCCUUCUAGGGGAUAGGGAGGUACCGAGAUGAAGCUGCCAAGUUUGGGCAAUUUUACCACUAAUCGUAUGAACACAAAUGGAAGAGGCAAAAUGAAAAUUGUUCCAUACAAUUGGACUCAAUGUGAACAAUUUGGGAUUUAUCAUGAAACACAGUAAUCAAAACAAAAAGGGUCCCUGCCCCAGAAAUAGUUUAAUAUCUUUGAGAAGAAAAGAAACAUAAGUGGUAAUAGGUUAGCCUAUGUGUUCUAGACUUCACUCUGGGAGGGGCUUAUAGAAAUGUCCCGAGAAAAGUCAAGGAAACUUCAAACCUGCUUCUUCCAGGUCCCAGGUUUGCCAAAUCCAGGAGGGAGUGUAGGUGCACAGACCCUGGCUGUGCCACAGUUUGUUCUGCUGCCAACCACGGCUGUUGGAAACAUUGAACGGCGGGUGGGGGUGCAUUCCAACAUCUCCAGGCCCCCGCUUACCUGAUGCAGAUUUGAGAGUAUGGCCAGGAGAGGCAGUGGCAAAGGCAUGUGGUUCCAGGCUGGCCCCAGGCACAAGGAUUUCUCUGCCCAAUGAAAUGGAUUCUUCCUUGACUUCUUAGAAAAUGAUGACAAUUAUUAGGCUCCUAAUAGACUGUUCCAUGAAGAGAGAGAAUUAAAAUGUACUCUUCCAAAGUCUAGUGUGUUGCUCACCCUCAAGUUUGGCUGUGGCUACUAUGAAUAAUGCUGUUAUGAAUAUUCAUGUUUAAGUUUUUCACUGAAUAUGCUUUCACUGUGCUUGGGGUUACACCUGAGAGUGGAAUUGCUAUGCAUAUGGGAAUUCUAUGCUUAACUUUUUGAGGAACUGCCAAGCUGUUCCAGGCUGCAACACUUCACAUUCCUGAGAGCAAGGUUUUAGGGUAAUUUCUCCACAUUCGCAUCCGCACUUGGUAUUUAACUUAAAAAAAAAUAUCGCUGCAUUAGUGGAUGUGAGGCACUAUCCCCCUGUUGUUUUGCAUUUCUCUAAUGACUAAUAAUACGUAGCACCUUUUUUUGUUCUUGUUGGCCAU
rnacentral:lncRNA from 1 species